ensembl:ncRNA F56B3.14 ncRNA
UUUGACAAAAGUUGGGUCCCGUCACGAAAACCUCCAGGGUUACUGUAGCUUUCGCGGUGGGACCCAACUUUAAGCAAGUAUGUCAUAAUUAUACU